GAUUCAUCACCAGGAAAAAUCAGUGACAUACCAAUCCCAGUUAUUCCUCAGUCAGCAUGAAGAUUUUUUAUGUUUUUCUACUUAUCUUUUUCUUGUUCCAUUCAGUGUACCUGGACAAAUCAGGAAUUGUUUCCAGGAGAUGUAUAUAAGACUAGAACUUUAAACUGUAAUUGUAAUUGUAACGAACCAUAGUUGUGUAAAGCUAUAUCACUUAUCCUAGAAAAUGGUUAGAGGCAGAUGAUGAAGAAAAUACAGUGUGACAAUUGG